GGAACAAGAAGGGGAGAAGAGGUUGAGAGAAAAAAAGGGGAGGAGAGAGAUAAAGAGACACACACACACAGAUGGGUGUAACAUCUCAACGCUAUUUGUCCACCCUUUUGGUCCCCAUGCUAUCACCAAGUUCAAGAGGAGAUGACACUGAAUACAGAAACAGCGGUAGCCUUUCCAGUUGCCCCCCUGCCUCUAGCUUCCACCUCCCCUUCCCCCCAACUUCCCACCUCCACCCAAAUCCAUUCUUCACAUGCUUCUAGAAUGAUGGUCUCCAACGCAGAUGCCGGCGAAGUCUAGUCUCUGCCUCCUUCUCAUCUUCUACCCCAUCCCUGCUCCUUGGCUUCACGCAAAACUUGACGAGAAGCAUCAACGACAUCAAGAAGCCUGGAGUGAGAGGUGGUGUGAUCUUUGACAGCCCUUGAGCCUGCAGCCUGGGCUCCCCAGUGGGCGCCCUGACCUUCCACAUCUUCCUCUGAAGGGACCUGGAGUCCUGCUAAUUGUUGGACAGGGUGAGACCUUGCCCUCUAAGAAGGAAGUCACGGAUGAAAUGCCACGUGCUUUUGUUUUUUCCUGGCUAUCCUGAAGAUCUUUAAGCAGAGGUAUGUUCUGCAUCAUUCACGGCUGAAAGGUCAUGCUUGACCACAUUUAUAACUAAAAGGACAGUAUGAUUCCUGCUGUAAGGUGCUAGCUAAUCGUUCUACCAGGAACAUUUAGAACAACCAAGCUAUGUGUCUGUAGAGAGCUUUUCAUACGGUUUUCCUAACUGUUCACUGCGUUAAAGCCUACGCGGUUUGAAAUGCUCCACGGGGGAGGGGUCCCCUCCACCCUCACCUGGCCGCCUCCUCCAUGCCUGCCCUGCCCCUCACAUCACAGAGCACUUCUGCUCCGCUGUCUGCCUGAUCUCCGAGAAGGUGGCCUGGGCUUUUUCUUUGAUGGAAUCCAAGUCCAUGUUCUGGAGAUUCUGUAACUGCCCGAGAAUAGAACCCUUAUCUUCUUCCUCUUCUUCAUCCUCAUCUACCAUUUUCCGGAGAUCUUCGGGCAAAUCCACAUCAUCUCCAGCCAUCUGGAUUUGGUUCUCGUCCAUUUCACUCUGUGCGGCAAAACAAACACGGAGAUGGAGAAGGCAUUCCAAAACAAACACACAAAUCCUGAAAGCAGCAGGGAGAUAGAGGUCUGUUGUGGAUGGAUGGAGGGAAUGGCACAUUUGGCCACCUCGCAGCAGAGCCUGGGCCUGGUACCACCAGUUAUGGAGGCCAGACAUCCCGGUUGAGACCCCCCCCCCCCACCUUUCACUGCACUUGGGUCGAUUGGAACCUUCUAGCACAGUGGUUCUCAAAGUGUGGUCCCUGGACCGGGCAUGUUAGAAAGACAAAUUCUCCGCCUCCACCCUAGGCCUACUGAAUCAGAAACUCCGGGGUGGGGGUCCAGCAAUCUGCAUUUGAAGAAUCCCUCUCCUAUCGUGCUGAUGCCCAGAAAGUUUAACCAACUCUGCCUCAGGGCAGCUCUGCAAGCUUUGCUGUCUAUCAGCCCCAGGCUGUUGUGACUCAGGGAUCCCACUCUGGAGGGUGGGGUUUGGGUUCACAGGGCCAGACAGUGCUCCCUCGAUCCAGCCAUCUCUCUUCAGGGGCAACGUCUGUUUAACCAUCGCCCCUUCCCUCCCUUCUACUAGACACAGAAUCACCUCAAACUCAACUUUACAUCCAUGUCACCUGGAAGCGAGUCUGGCGCACAAACCAGCUUAUUAAGUGAAUCGUCCAGCACCGCCUAGCCUUGCGUGUCGCCGAUGCCUUACAAUUUCCUUUUGUGGUCCUAGUUGUGGCUGUCCCACGAUCUCUUAGUUCCUGCUGCCUGGCCUCUGAAAUCCCUUUACCCUUAGGCUGCAGAGCCCUUUGUUUUGUAACAGAGAAGAAUCUAGAGAAAAAGUUUCUCUGGGAAAGGCAAGGGUUUCCUUUCUCAGAUGGCUGCUCUUGGAUAUAAUUUUCUGAGAGGUCUCAGAUAUAAAUUUCUGAGGUCGUAACGUGAGGGAAACUGGGCUUUGGGGACACAGAAGUUUAAAAAGAGCACCAGAAAAGCGAGUGAUGGGAAAGAUCUAAGUGAUCUUGUGGUCUAAGUGGUGGGAAAGAUCUAAGCAGACUGUAGGGCCCACCUCAAGGGUGUUGUGACCAGCCUGGAAUUUGUUACCAAAGGGCAUGAAAAACCACACAAAGGCAAAAUGGUCAUCUCAGUCUUAAGCAGACUGCAUUGAUUUGAUUGGAGAAAGAUUUGGGCACCUGCCAAGUCCCCACUUCUGAUGCUCUGUAGCUCCAGACUUCUCCAAUGGCCUUCGAGAGGCUGGAGACCACAGCCUUUCCCCAGAGCUCCUUUUAUUUGGUUCUCUGGGUAAAGUGACAGCAAGCCUGGCUCCAGAAACAGGUUGAGAGACCGACUUUUUUUUCUUUUUUUUAACUCAAAAAGAUUUAUUCUAAACAUUAAAAGUUGACAUAAUUUGUUACAAAAUGCAGCAAAGGGCUUUUGAUAUUUUCCGCCCAGAAAACUUCAGUUUAGGCAAAAACAAUGUGAACUUCACUCAGGAUGAGGUUGUAAAAACCCGCUCUGGGCAGGGUAUGCCAUCACGUUGGCAGCCCCAGGGCACCAUCGACAGGUGAGGAUGUGAGGCACCAGGGCGGAUGCCUCAGCUCAGCCGUGAUGGACAGGUUCCCCCAUCGCUGGCCCCUGCUCAGUUAUUUUCCUUUUGCAAACACAGUGGAGCUAGCUUCACAGAGGCAGUUAGCCAGCCAAAGAGAGAAGUCUCAGUUUUGUCUGGAAUGAUCUGACGUGGUGUCUCUGCCGAUCCCGUUCAGCACCUCUGAGCUCUUUUUUUGUGUUGUCCACACGCCGUCAUGGAGCUGAGCGGCUCAACUUCCAACGUGAAACUUCUAGAUUACCUGCCCUGCCCUACACAGAGUUCCCUCUUCGUAUUUACUUCCUUGCUUUCUUUCCCCACCUCGGGAGGCCGACUUCUGAUGCUGAGAAGACGAGGAUGCCUUUGGGCGGCGUGGUCUUCACCAGGCCCUCCCUGGAGACCCCUGGGAAUGGCGACUCUCAGUGUCGACUCCCCAGGAUACCAAACCGCUGGAUUAAUGGAUUUCUUUCCCAUGGACGAGUGGAUCUGAUAUUUGAUGCUUUACCUAUUCUGAGGAUCUCCAAUGUCAGCAGUUACCUGUUUUCACAAACCACCCCUCACUGUCCUGGUGAUGAGUGAGGCAGCCACGCUGGCCCCUAGGCAAGAUGUUCCAGAGGAACUCAAGAAGCUCUUAGAGGCCGCUUGUCCAAGCCUCUCCUUUACAGAUGAGGAAACCGAGGUCCUGGGAGGUGAAGAUACUUGCAUAAAUGUCAUUCUGCUUGUUAGGGGACAAGAAACCAGCCCUGCUGCCAGGUCUCGCAGGAAAAUGUGGCCAGUGGGUCGGAUUGGCUUGGAGUUGAAUCUUGCCAUUUACCAGCUGUGUGACCUUGGGAAGUCCCAUUCCCUCUCCGAGCCACUCUUCUUAUCUAUGGAGGGGAGAUGAUAUCUACCUACCUUCCAGGGUGGCUGUGAGGAUUAAGUGAGAAAGUGCGGCUAAGCGACACAUCCAAAUCCGAUGACUUUCUUCCCUUCCCAGGUUCCCCCAGGACCUUCAAUCCACGGCUCUUUCAAGGGCGUGAGUAAAAGGAGCAACUGAACUAGGGCAGCAAAGGGAGGAGCAGGAAGGGACAGCCCCUAACGGGCCUCUGAUGGCCUCCCUGUGCUGCCACCAGAAACAGCUGCUCAGAAGCAGGAGGUUUCAGUGUCUGGGACCCGGCCAGGCAGCCCUGAGAGCCCCUGAUCUGAAGGAGGUGGGCAAAGAAAGCUUCACAAAAUCCAAUCUGUUUAUAAGAGGCAACUUUCAAAUUCAGUUCUAAUGGAGCUUUCAAUGCACUACAUUUAAAGAAACUCUACUGAUAGAUUUUCUUCUAUCUUCAUCUUUGUUCAAAGUGAACGAUGCCCUUAAUACAGCAGACAAACACCAGGUGUAACUAAAUCGUAUAGCUCAGCAGGGAGCAUGACAUUAUUUUUCAAUGACUAACCUAGACUGACAAUUCUGUUAAUAGGAUUAGGGUUCAUUGUGGAACUGUUUUCUCUUAUUAAUUUGGCUUGACUUACAUAUACAUUUUGAAUUGGCUAGAAAGAGGGGCACCUUUGUUUUCAGAGAAAAAUCUUGUGGCUUUAUUUAAAAUGUAUUACUGCCUCUAUUUGCAAAAAAAUAUGACAUCUUAAUUAUUAUAUAAAGUAAUUCUGUAUUUUAUACAAAAUCAUAAUGUCGAAUCCAGUCGUGCUUUUUUCAUGAAAAUUGAUUUUAAUGUAACUCUUAUGGCUGAUAGAUUCCUUCUGCUGUUUUUGAUACUUUGUUCUUUGGGUGUGUUUCUGUUUUCCUUUUUUCCCUAUGACAUCAAUCAUUCAGCAAGCCUUGUGUGUGUGUGUGUGUGUGUCUAUGUGUUUGUGUGUAGUAUGUGCAUAUGUAUGUGUGCGUGGUGUGUGUGUGUGCGUGCAUGUGUGUGUGUGUAUGUGCAGCUUCUACAUGUCAGACACCAUGCAAGGCCCUGAUGACAGAGACAAAACCUCAGCCCCUUUGUUAAGAAGCACACAAUCCAGCAGGUGAGACUAUUCGGGUUGGAAAGAUGGCAUAAGAGACAUGCACUCAGGUAUUACGCGAGCAUGGAGGAGGGGGAGGGGAGGGAGGUCAUGGAAGUUUCUGGAAGAAGUGGCACUAGACCAACGUCUUACAGGAAGGAAAGAGGUCACAGGGAGCAGGGUGUAGGGGACGCGAAGCAGGAGAGUAGUAUAGUCCAGGCAAGGGGUAGCAAGAAGUGAGGCUGGAAAGUUAGGAGCCACAUCAUGGUGUACAGGCCAAGGGGGUUGGACUUUAUUCUGAAAAGUCAUGGUAAACUUUCAUUGUUUUUUUGUUUUUUUUAAUAAAAACAGGGGAGGAGGGGACUUCCCUGGUGGCACAGUGGUUAAG